UCCUUCAGUGUUUCGCUAACGCUUUCGUUUUCCUUCCGUUUUCAUUUUUCAACCUUCUCGCGUUUCAUUCUAAUGUCCGCCUUUUCGGUUUCUUCAACUACGAUUUCGUUAAACAGCAGCAGUUCACCUCUCAUUCAUUCUCUUCAAAAUUUCUGGCCUUUCACUUCAAUCUCCUCUCCCUCACUUUCUACCGCAAUGGAACCACUCUGAUUGCAUCCUUCCCUGGCCCGCGAAUCGUCACAAAUUGCCCUCAGAAGCCAACACCUCCAGUCCUCCACCACGCCUGCAGCGGCACCACCGAUUGAACAACAGAAGCUUUUCGACUGCUCCAGACCCAUCCCUCACUUUCUACCGUGUAGGAUUCACAACUUCGCACGCCGCGGGAUCCCUCAAGAUCUCCACCUCAUGGCUGAUGCCUUCGCGAGCUUUACCAUGCUGGUGAACCGUGGCUGCAAGCCGUGUGACCCAGCUCAGAAUGGCUACCCAGAAUCCUUUUUCUUCUUCCUUUCAUCUUAACGCUAACCAUGGAGGUGAGAUAUUUUCUCUGCGUGUUCAAUUUUUCAUAUUUCCUUAUGAAUUUGUUCUUUGUCAGUAUCUCUAUUCUAAAUGAAAAUCACUUUUAUUUGCACAUUCAGAUGCUGUUUUUUUUCGUAUUAUAGAAACCCCUUUAUUUACGGUCUCAUCUUCUCUUUCUGUUCGCCAAGGUAAGAACUAAGCGCUAUCAUGUUUGCUCAGUGUUCAAUUGCUUUGUGUUUUUUUCUCCAUCAGAUUUUGUGUUUAUAGGUCAACAUGGACAUCAACAAAGCAAAUAAAGAGUGUGACGAUUGAAGGCUUCAAAGCAAGUUCAACAUUGCUACCUAUGUCGUUUAGAGAGUUUAUCUUUGUAUUCAUUGAAUCAGAAGUAUGGAUUCAUCAAGCCCGGUUCCUUUAUAGGCAAUGGUGAUCUUCAUUGCUCAUGACACCGGUAAGGAUGAGGGAAGGUGCAGCAAACUCACAGUACAUGUGGUGGCUGAGGAAGGAGAUGUGCCAGCAGCCAAAUUUAUUUGGCUGAGCUCUCUGUCGUUUCAACCUUUAUUGGACUUCAAGUGUGUUUCAUCUUCCUAAACUCUUCCCUUCCUUUAUUUUAUUGACUCUAAUUGCUAAUUUCUAUUUAGGAUUUGGCGAGCACCAUUUCAUUAGUCCUUCAUUGGCAAGGCAAUAAUUUGAAACCGCUUGCAAUUUUCAUUCUCACAGGAUGUUAUUACUUCUAAUAUCAUUCUUAGUGCCAGAUAGCAUGCCCAAUUUCUAAGAUUGUUAGCACCACUGAAAACAAGAUACUCACCUGAAGAAGCUUAAUUACACAUUUUCAACUUGCUGCCAUCUUGGGACAAGCUAAACAUUUUCAUAAUAGGAAAGAUCUGCAGCUUAAAUAAUUAAGCUGCCUAAAUCAAUGAUUGGACAUUUUAUUGAUGUGAUAUUUAACUAAAUCUGUUAAAUGCAAUGAGAGAUUGAUGUCAUCCUUGCAAUAGCAAUUGUAUUAUUGUUUCCAGUAUAAUUCUACAUGUAUAUAAGAAAUUGUUCAUUUUGACCUUUAUCUUAUGGGCCACUUUCCAUGUCUGAAUGCAUGGCAUGGAAAAAUCUAUUUACUUUGUGGAUCUGGGAGUAUCCCUGUUUAUGAUCAACUUAGUGCAUGUUUGCUUUUGAGUUGGGUGCCCUCAAAACCAUGGUUUUUGCAAACACUAUAAGUUAUAGAAAAAAAUCUAAUAAUACAUGAUACAUUGUUAGUUUUAUCCAUCUGUUCUCAUUCUGCAUAUAUCAAAUUGGUUUUCCUUAGUAUAGGAACUUUAGAUGUGUUUAUACUUUAUAUUAUGGUUUGAUAUUUUACCCAAUUAACACAUUUAUUUUCUUGGCACAGAUGACUAUGAAUGAAGAAGAGGAAUUAAACACUAGACCACUAUCUGUCCUGAUGAUGAGUAAAUAAUUUGAUUUUUCUGAAACUGUUGCCGGUAUUGAGCUUUUUAAUACAUGCCCCUUUUCUAUGCUAACUUCGUGCAUAACACAAGUAAUCUCAUUAAAGCCACAUAGUCAAAGUAAAUUUCAGAUUCAAUAGUGUUAUUCUCAUUGUCAUUUUUGCAGGAUGCAUGCUUAUUAAAGGAAGUGCAGAAUGGUUGGUGAAAAUCAUGUAGACAAGCAAGAGGAUUAAAAUGUUGAGAGAACACGCAGGAGCAAUAAAGGAUGAAGUGAGAUCUCAAACUGACUUGCUAGCUGCCAAAGACCAAGGAACUAGGGGGCUUCAUUAGUAAUAUGUUCUAAAUUGGGAACAACACCAAGCCUCUCAAGUAAGAGACAAAGAGGAGAUUCAAAAUGGGUAGAUCUUGGAUGCUAUAAACCAUAGAGAUUUUAAUUUGACAGGACUGAGGUUAGCCACACAAAAAAAUCAGAGCUUGGUACAAGGAGAGAGCAACAUCAUAGUGGGAUAUGGAUUUGACUAUUAACAUCAAGAAAGGAUUGGAAUAUUAGGGUAUAGUAUCAUUGUGAUUACCUGUUGUGUGACCUCCCUGUCCUCCCCUUGAAAAAAAAAGAGAAUUUGUUUAGCUUUUUAUGUUUUGUAUUGCUAUUGGUUGACACUUAGCCAGUGUUGUAUAAUAGAAAAAUGUAAUGAUCCUUAAUAAAGACUUUUGCGCUGUAUAAUGGAUGGUACCAGGUUAACUGAAAAAGUGUAUUGAUCCUUAUCGGUGAUAUUCAAAUAUUGUUUUGCACUACAUGAAUAUACAAUUUUUUUAAUUAUUUGCAUAUAAAAAGAAA